rnacentral:lncRNA from 1 species
UUUUUUUAAAUUAAUUAUUAAGAGGUGUAUAAAAUUUGAAUUAAAAUCAAUGAUUCAUUCAUUAAUUAUUGAGAUUUAAAUCUGUUGUGGAAAUUACUUGGGAUUGAUUAGGAUUUGGUUUAAGAUUAGGAUUAGGAUUUUGGAUUGAUUUAAGAUUUAUUUGGAAUUAAGAUUUGAUUGGGAUUUAAUUAGAUUUUGUUUAGAAUUUUAUUAAUAUUUUUUAGGAUUUGAUUGGGAUUUUAUUACAAUUCGAUUAGGAUUUGAUUAGAAUUUGACUAGAAUUUGUCUAGGAUUUGAUUAAGGCUUAUUUAGGAUUUUUUAAGGAUUUAACUAGGAUUUAUUUAGGAUUUUAUUAGGAUUUAUUUAAGGUUUGAUAAAUAUUUUAUUAGUAUUUAUUUAAGAUUUGAUUAAGAUUUAUUUAAAAUUUGAUU